AUAUACCUUGCCUUCUGGAAUAGCUCCUGACAUGAGGGGAAAGACAGGCCACGAACAGCAAGAGUAUAGGGAACAGCAAAGAUUAGCAUGGCUUUCAGAGGUAGAGGCCACUUCCGGUAGACCCAUGGAAGAACUUCUAGGCCAUCCUUCAUAUGCCAGGGACAUGAAUCUUACGUGGCUGAAGAGAAAGAGGAAACAGAUGAGAGGUCAGAGAGAGGGGAGAGCAGGGAGUGUAUGGAGAGGAGGGGUACUGCGGGGGUGGGGGUGGGGGCGGUGAGCAAGGCUGAGAGGCUAGAAGGGAGGACAGGAGCUGGGAGCUGGGAGGAGAACUGAGAGGAGAGGGGCUGCGAUGGAGCGGUGGGGUGGGGCUGGCGCGGGGGCGGGGCGGGGCGGGCCAAGGCUAUCAAGGACAGAGGAGAGGAAGCAGACACAGAAGAGGAGGGGCUGUGCUAAAGUACAAACCCCAGGGAGGGGGAGGGAGGACAUGAAUGAGCCUCUGGAGGGAGUGAAGCACAGGGCAGGGCAGAGGGCACGUCUGAGGAAGGAGGUGGCUUGUUGAGCGGGCUGGUUUCCGGACUGCAGCUUCACACAAUGCCAGGGGCCGCCUUUUCCAUAGAUUCUCAUAGAUUAAACCCUGCAGGGGAAGCUGGGAGGCAGGCAGCAGACUGGAGCCAGGAAGCCAAUUUACGGGGACCCUUGAUGAUGAGCUCUGGGAAGCGGGGCUUAAAGCACCUCAUUCCCAGGGCUUCGUGUGAGAUUUAAUUGGCUUUAAGCUAAGGGCUUUAUAUAAAGCCUGGCACGGGUGUCCAACAAACAUUCUUUUUUUUUUUUCUCUCCCCUUGACUUCCCAGAGGAACUAGCCUAGAAGAGAAAAGAAAAGGGUUUCCUUAAUUCUCCCAGGAAGUAAGUGGCACGGGAGGAUUCGAACCCAGCUCUCAGCAGGUCCUGUCAGUGUGAUCCUAGCUUCUUAGGUCAAGGCCUAAAGAGCGUAGGUGUAAGGCUUACACGGGCUACAAAAUUAAUUAAUGGCCUGCCUGAGCAACUUAGUGAGACCCCCCCCCGUCUCAAUAUAAACGAGAGAGAGAGAG
rnacentral:lncRNA from 1 species